CCACUAAAAAGCUGCCGGCUUUACGCCUUCCAUGGGGACGUUUGCGCGGUCUACGGACCUCAACGUCAAACCGUUGGUUGUAAAGCCCGGCAAAAACCAAACCUAAGUGCUGCUCCUGGCACCCCACGCCUUGAUGCGUACAGCGGUCAGAGCUUCACUAUCCCCUUGACCUCCAUUGCACGCCGCACACCCGGCAAAACCAAACCUAAGGUCGAAGUGCUGCUCCUGGCACCCCACGCCUCGAUGCGUAUAGUGCUCGGAGUUUCACUAUUUCCUCGACCUCCACAGAACGCCGCACAGUUAGCUCUUGAGCUCUGUGUGAUCCUAGCCGCUCCGCCGCUACUCACGGUUGUCAGAGUAACACUUCCGCCCCACUAA
rnacentral:lncRNA from 1 species